rnacentral:rRNA from 1 species
UACGAAGGGGGCUAGCGUUGCUCGGAAUCACUGGGCGUAAAGGGUGCGUAGGCGGGUUUUUAAGUCAGAGGUGAAAUCCUGGAGCUCAACUCCAGAACUGCCUUUGAUACUGAAAGUCUUGAGUAUGGGAGAGGUGAGUGGAACUGCGAGUGUAGAGGUGAAAUUCGUAGAUAUUCGCAAGAACACCAGUGACGAAGGCGGCUCACUGGCCCAUUACUGACGCUGAGGCACGAAAGCGUGGGGAGCAAACAGG